GAUAAACGCUGGCGGCGUGCUUAACACAUGCAAGUCGAACGAAGUUUUUCCUUCGGGAGAAACUUAGUGGCGGACGGGUGAGUAACGCGUGGGUAACCUGCCCUGUACAGGGGGACAACAGCUGUAAACGGCUGCUAAUACCGCAUAAGCCCUUAGCACUGCAUGGUGCAUAGGGAAAAGGAGCAAUCCGGUACGGGAUGGACCCGCGUCUGAUUAGCCAGUUGGCAGGGUAACGGCCUACCAAAGCGACGAUCAGUAGCCGAUCUGAGAGGAUGUACGGCCACAUUGGGACUGAGACACGGCCCAGACUCCUACGGGAGGCAGCAGUGGGGAAUAUUGCACAAUGAAGGAAACUCUGAUGCAGCGACGCCGCGUGAGUGAAGAAGUAUUUCGGUAUGUAAAGCUCUAUCAGCAGGGAAGAAAAUGACGGUACCUGACUAAGAAGCACCGGCUAAAUACGUG
rnacentral:rRNA from 1 species